GAGGAAUAUUGGUCAAUGGACGGAAGUCUGAACCAGCCAAGUAGCGUGCAGGAUGACGGCCCUAUGGGUUGUAAACUGCUUUUGUAUGGGGAUAAAGUCAAUCACGUGUGAUUGUUUGCAGGUACCAUACGAAUAAGGACCGGCUAAUUCCGUGCCAGCAGCCGCGGUAAUACGGAAGGUUCGGGCGUUAUCUGGAUUUAUUGGGUUUAAAGGGAGCGUAGGCCGGAGAUUAAGUGUGUUGUGAAAUGUAGACGCUCAACGUCUGACUUGCAGCGCAUACUGGUUUCCUUGAGUGCGCACAACGUUGGCGGAAUUCGUCGUGUAGCGGUGAAAUGCUUAGAUAUGACGAAGAACUCCGAUUGCGAAGGCAGCUGACGGGAGCGCAACUGACGCUUAAGCUCGAAGGUGCGGGUAUCAAACAGGAUUAGAUACCCUGGUAGUCCGCACAGUAAACGAUGGAUGCCCGCUGUUGGUACCUGGUAUCAGCGGCUAAGCGAAAGCAUUAAGCAUCCCACCUGGGGAGUACGCCGGCAACGGUG
rnacentral:rRNA from 1 species